UCUCUGGUAGUAUAUCGGUUAGUACACGCGCUUGUCAUGGUAGGUAUAUGACGCCAUUUCGCGCGAAAGCUGGGUUCGACUCCCAGCCAGAGAG
rnacentral:tRNA from 1 species